GAUGAACGCUGGCGGCGUGCUUAACACAUGCAAGUUGAGCGAAGCGCUUACGACAGAACCUUCUGGUGAAGAGGUAAGGGACUGAGCGGCGGACGGGUGAGUAACGCUUGGGUAACCUGCCUCAUACAGGGGGAGAACAGUUGGAAACGGCUGCUAAUACCGCAUAAGCGCACAGCAUCGCAUGAUACGGUGUGGAAAAGUCCGGUGGUAUGAGAUGGACGCGCGUCGGAUUAGCUAGUUGGAGGGGUAACGGCAAAGCAAGGCUACGAUCAGUAGCCGGGAGGGGAGAGUGAAAGGUUGCAAUGGGGAUACGGCACAGACCCGAAUGCUACGGAGGGCAGGAGUGGAGAAUAUAGCACGAUGGGGGAUAACGUGAUGCAGCGGCGCGGGGUGAAAGAAGAAGUAGCUCGGUAUGUACACUUCUAUCAGCAGGGAAGAAAAUGACGGUACCUGAAGAAGAAGCCCCGGCUAACUACGUG
rnacentral:rRNA from 1 species